GAUGCACCACGAGUUGCUCCCCAUAAUUAAUAAUAAUAAUAAUCUUAAACCUGAAAGAGCUCAGGGUUGGAAUCUCCAUUCCGUAGAUGCCGCUUGCCAUUCAUUUUCCUUCCAAAUUCCUUUCUCUCCCAUACACAAUUGAUUCAAGAAGCAGAUAUAUGACGGAUUCCACUCCUCUACAGUCGCCAGAUUUGCCUUCGGCGCCCAUGGAGUUGUGAUAGGAGGAAUCUGAAACUCCCUGCCCUUGGGCGUCACGAAGCCAUCCUGUUCCUCCUCCUUCUCCGUUUUGUGUGGAUCCGUCUUGGACGCCGAUGGCGUGACGGAGAUCGCCAAACUCGGAAACUCCGAGCGCGUCGCCUCCAUUCUCACGAUCUAAAGGAUGGAUAGCUAAUGGCUUUGUUUGUGUAAUACGAAGAAGAGCAGCGGUGACAACUAACUAACAAGCGUAGCGUAGCUGGUACCAUAUAUAGUUCUUCUAAGGCGGUGGGUGCCACUUGUCACGGCGUACUCGUUUGCCACGUGUGUUGAUCAUCUGCAUGAAUGCCAGCUGUCACAGCGUACUCGUUUGGCACGUGUGUUGCUCAGGGAUGUUGUAUAUAUUAUCCGAUCACUCAACUGUGCUUGCAUUCAUCUGCCCUCUGGCCCCUCUGUUGCCAAUUCCAGCAGCUCUGCAAGUUUUUCAUGGGAGGCAGAUGCAUACAUAUUAUCCAUUAGCUUCUCCAUUAUUCAUCAUUAUUGAGAGGUUAAAUGACCUGGUGCGGUCAAGAAAACAAUCAUGUGCCGGUGCCAAUCUAUUUUAGAGGAACUGCAGGUAGGCCUUUGUUGGAGAUUGAUUCUGCUAAGCAGAAAUUUAGUCUUGAACUUGAGCAAAGGCGAGAAAACAUGAAGGUACACUUGCCAAUUUGCUCCAGUUAUGACAUUAUUAUUUGUUAUUGUGGUGUGAAGAAAUUUUAUUUUUGAUUUUUUUCCGAGCAAAUGGUACACGAAGAAACAAACUAAAAACAAAAGACAAAGCAAAGCAAAGGGAAGAGAUAAGUAAGUCUAAGGGGGAUUGAUGUACCACGGGGACGGGAGGCAGAGGCACAGAAGAAAUGGGAAUGCUAGCCGACCACUAAUGUUAGUGGAGGUGCCAUGCCAUGUUGCUAGUUAUGUGCAGUCCAAUUUGCACGGCGGUUGAUUAAUAUUUACGGAAAGAACAGGCUGGGAUGUUGCACAGAAUUGAGUGAGCUUCACAUAUGAAAGGAUCUGAUUGCCACUUGACAGAAGUCCUCGUUAAGGAAGGUAAACACCACUACUUAUGAAUUGCCCUCGAAGAUAAUAUUGUUGAAGCCGUCCUCUGCUACUUGCUCGAUGGCAUGGCUGCUCUAGCUUCUCCCACUGAGGAGUCUCAUGGGGGGAGCUUCCUCAUCCAAGCAUGAAGAAGGUUUUGAGAAAUAGCACCUCCCAUAAAAAAUGUCUCAUGGAUCGCCGCAUCAAAAUUUAUCUUGAGAAAACUGCCUCGAGGAGGCGACCACUUCUCAAUUGUUGGUUUUUUUCCCAAAUGUCCACGGUGCUUUUAUCAAACAUAUGAUUUAUCUUACUCUCAUCUCAUGUUCUGAUGUUGGGGAGAAGUAAAUCUGCCACCCUCAGAUUAUAAAGUUGAGGGUCAAUUAUGUCCUUGGGAGGGCUUCAAGCCACCCACAUUAGGGAUUCAUGGGUCUUCCCAUAUUCUGAUGCUAUUACCACUGUUAAUCUUCAAAUAUUGUUUAUGUCGUGUAUUUA